AAGUCGUAACAAGGUUUCCGUAGGUGAACCUGCGGAAGGAUCAUUAACACGUAUCCAACGUUAAACCCCCCGUGCACACAGCGACCUGCUCCCCUCAAUUUCGGUCUUUUGGCAAUCCCUGGUAAAUCAUCGCCGAACAGUUUUGAUUCAGGGAUCUCUGCGAAGAGAGCGGUUGUAGCGCGAGGUAAGUGGCCUGGCAUUCCUCUGCUUGUUAGUGUCUGACAGUGUCACUAGCUCUGUACGAAUGGCGCAGUCACGAUCGCUAGAGGCCGACACGGCCGGCGACCGGGUCACCGGGCAUAGACCCCCCUAUCACCUUUGCAUGAAAACGGGCCUGCGCUUAAUUGUGCGGCCACCAAACUCGAACAACUGUUAACAAUGGAUAUCUUGGUUCUC
rnacentral:misc_RNA from 1 species